rnacentral:rRNA from 1 species
CCUACGGGAGGCAGCAGUAGGGAAUCUUCCACAAUGGGCGAAAGCCUGAUGGAGCAACGCCGCGUGGGUGAAGAAGGUCUUCGGAUCGUAAAACCCUGUUGUUAGAGAAGAAGGUGCGUGAGAGUAACUGUUCACGUUUCGACGGUACCUGAGUAAGAAGCCCCGGCUAACUACGUGCCAGCAGCCGCGGUAAUACGGAGGGGGCAAGCGUUAUCCGGAAUUACUGGGUUUAAGGGGAGCGUAGGCCGGUCUUUAAGCGUGCCGGGAAAUUUUGUGGCUCAACCAUGAGAGUGCGGCGCGAACGGGAGACCUUGAGGGCGCGGAAGGCAGGCGGAAUUCGUGGUGUAGCGGUGAAAUGCUUAGAUAUCACGAAGAACCCCGAUUGCGAAGGCAGCCUGCCGCAGCGUUACUGACGCUGAAGCUCGAAAGCGCGGGUAUCGAACAGGAUUAGAUACCCUUGUAGUC